rnacentral:rRNA from 1 species
AACGAACGCUGGCGGCAUGCCUAACACAUGCAAGUCGAACGAGACCUUCGGGUCUAGUGGCGCACGGGUGCGUAACGCGUGGGAACCUGCCCUUAGGUUCGGAAUAACUCCCCGAAGGGGUGCUAAUACCGGAUAAUGUCCUCGGACCAAAGAUUUAUCGCCUUUGGAUGGGCCCGCGUUGGAUUAGCUAGUUGGUAGGGUAAAAGCCUACCAAGGCGACGAUCCAUAGCUGGUCUGAGAGGAUGAUCAGCCACACUGGGACUGAGACACGGCCCAGACUCCUACGGGAGGCAGCAGUGGGGAAUAUUGGACAAUGGGCGAAAGCCUGAUCCAGCAAUGCCGCGUGAGUGAUGAAGGCCUUAGGGUUGUAAAGCUCUUUUACCCGGGAUGAUAAUGACAGUACCGGGAGAAUAAGCUCCGGCUAACUCCGUG